rnacentral:rRNA from 1 species
UACAGAGGGGGCCAGCGUUAUUCGGAAUUAUUGGGCGUAAAGGGCGCGUAGGCGGCUUUGCGUGCCUUUCGAGAAAUCCCUCGGCUCAACUGAGGACGUGCGGAAGAAACUGCAGGGCUGGAGUCCGGGAGAGGAGGGUGGAAUUCCCAGUGUAGCGGUGAAAUGCGUAGAUAUUGGGAGGAACACCGGUGGCGAAGGCGGCCCUCUGGACCGGUACUGACGCUGAUGCGCGAAAGCGUGGGGAGCAAACGGG